UACGAAGGGGGCUAGCGUUGCUCGGAAUCACUGGGCGUAAAGGGUGCGUAGGCGGGUCUUUAAGUCAGGGGGUGAAAUCCUGGAGCUCAACUCCAGAACUGCCUUUGAUACUGAGGAUCUUGAGUUCGGGAGAGGUGAGUGGAACUGCGAGUGUAGAGGUGAAAUUCGUAGAUAUUCGCAAGAACACCAGUGGCGAAGGCGGCUCACUGGCCCGAUACUGACGCUGAGGCACGAAAGCGUGGGGGAGCAAACAGG
rnacentral:rRNA from 1 species